GAUAAACGCUGGCGGCGUGCCUAAUACAUGCAAGUCGAACGAGGGAUCCUUGUAGCAAUACGGGGAUUUCCUAGUGGCGAAUGGGUGAGUAACGCGUUGGUGACCUGCCCCAAAGAGAGGAAUAACAGUUCGAAAGGACUGCUAAUACCGCAUGUGGUUCUCCAGGCUAGAGGCUGGAGUUCUAAAGCAGUAAUGCGCUUCGGGAGGGACCUGCGUCCCAUCAGCUAGUUGGUGAGGUAAUGGCCCACCAAGGCUACGACGGGUAGGGGACCUGAGAGGGUGGUCCCCCACACUGGCACUGAAACACGGGCCAGACACCUACGGGAGGCAG
rnacentral:rRNA from 1 species